CAGGGCGAUGAAAGUACGUUGAAUGGAACAGUUUCCGAUGACUCACUGAAGUUAAGAAACGUAGCGCGUGGUUUGUAUGCGGAGGGGUGACCAUCUGGAUAAUCGCGUGCUGGUUUUC
rnacentral:rRNA from 1 species